rnacentral:rRNA from 1 species
AGUGAACGCUGGCGGUAGGCCUAACACAUGCAAGUCGAACGGCAGCACAGUAAGAGCUUGCUCUUACGGGUGGCGAGUGGCGGACGGGUGAGGAAUACAUCGGAAUCUACUUUUUCGUGGGGGAUAACGUAGGGAAACUUACGCUAAUACCGCAUACGACCUACGGGUGAAAGCAGGGGAUCUUCGGACCUUGCGCGAUUGAAUGAGCCGAUGUCGGAUUAGCUAGUUGGCGGGGUAAAGGCCCACCAAGGCGAAGAUCCGUAGCUGGUCUGAGAGGAGGUGAGCCCACACUGGGACUGAGACACGGACGAGACUCCUGCGGGAGGCAGCAGUGGGGUAUGUUGGACAAUGGGCGCAAGCCUGAUCCAGCCAUGCCGCGUGUAUGAAGAAGGGCUUCGUGUUGGAAAGGACUUUUGUCAGGGAAGAAAAGGCUGUUGCUAAUACCGACAGCUGAUGACGGUACCUGAAGAAUAAGCACCGGCUAACUACGUG